AUUGAACGCUGGCGGUAUGCUUUACACAUGCAAGUCGAACGGAGGUAGCAAUACCUUAGUGGCGAACGGGUGAGUAAUAUAUCGGAACAUGUCCGUAAGUGGGGGAUAACGUAGAGAAAUUUACGCUAAUACCGCAUAUUCCCUGAGGGGGAAAGGAGGGGAUCGCAAGACCUUUCGCUAACGGAGUGGCCGAUAUCGGAUUAGCUAGUAGGUGAGGUAAGGGCUCACCUAGGCGACGAUCCGUAGCGGGUCUGAGAGGAUGAUCCGCCACACUGGGACUGAGACACGGCCCAGACUCCUACGGGAGGCAGCAGUGGGGAAUUUUGGACAAUGGGCGAAAGCCUGAUCCAGCCAUACCGCGUGAGUGAAGAAGGCCUUCGGGUUGUAAAGCUCUUUCGGACAGAAAGAAAUCCUAUCCGCUAAUACCGGGUGGGGAUGACGGUACUGUAAGAAGAAGCACCGGCUAACUACGUGCCAGCCGCCGCCGCGGUAA
rnacentral:rRNA from 1 species